AUCCUCCUCCGAUGCUGCCCAGGCCCCUGGCCCACCCCCUCCGCGCUCGCUUGCUGCCCACACAAGAUGGCCGGCCCCCUAAGAAACUCGCUUCUCUUCCGGCGAGAGCGACAUCCGGGAAACAGGCGGCAGGAGGCCGCGGGCGCCCGCAAAGGGUCUCGGGAAGCGGAGGCCUGGCCCUCCGACUGCUGGAGUAAUCGGCACGCCUCGAGGAGCGGGACCACAAUUCCCGGCAGGCACCGCGGCAACGAGAGACAAGGAGGCAGAGGCGAACAUCCCAAUGCGUUCCCGCCUCCCCCAGCCUCAGACUAUUGGGAGGGGAGCAGGAAAGAGAGCGGCAGGCAGUUCCCCCUUUUCUUAGAAGGAAGCGACAGUGUUUUUAAACAAAAAGCAAAAUGUGGGGUGCUCUUCUCUACAAAUCAGGCUGAAAACCUGAAAGUGCUGCCUUCCCUGUGGAAUGCCCUCCCGCCCUUCAGAUGUCAAGGAGGUAAAUAACACUACAACUUUUAGAAGACAUCUGAAGGCAACCCUGGAACCUAAAGACGCCUCUGUUCUGACAAGUCUUUCAGCCAGGUGAGUCUUCUUUGAAUUUAUAGCUCCUGCUUCCCCAAUUUUCUUUGCUGCUCCCUUUGUGUGGGUUAAGUUUUGAGUGGAAUUUUGAUAUUUGUGGCCUUGGGCACUGCAAUUUGAAAUAGAAAGGCAAGAUAGGAACAUAUGAAUGAGCAAGCUGCAGAAAGCAGCGUUGCUCCCGUGAGAAAGAAUCUUGGCUUGGAACAUCCGAAAGUCAAGGUUAGGUUGCCUCUUUAUGCCUUCAUUGCAUUAGCACAUGUCCAUGACUGGUCCCUCCAUGGAUAUAACCUGCACAGUUGGCAACCCACUACCAUCCCAGCAUGACCCAGCUCCUCCGAAAGCUGCUUUUCCUAUUAAAAAAAUAGACAUGCAUUUGGGUGCAAUGUUUUGUUUGGCCCAGAGUUUACAGUGCAGGUAUUCACAGUGCAGCAGUGUAGGGCCCUUAACCCUUUCCUUGCCCACCACAACUUCUCUCCAGCCUCUUCCAUCCCCCACCAUUGACAGGAUUCCACACUUUUGCAGAUAUGUUUUUAGAACCCCAUUGGAGGAGAACAGCUUGGGGGGGGUUGGAUUUCAGAAUAAAAGCAGCUGACUAAGGUAAUAUUAACCUCAGCAACCCACACCCACCAACAGGCUACUUCCCUGCUUCAAAUCACUCCCUUUGCCAAGCAGCUGUUGGGAGUUUCGCUGUACACAUUUCUGUAUAAAGUGUCGUUUGGCCCGGAAUCUGAAUAACUGGAUGAAACCUCCCCUCAAUUAUAUUACAUUACAUAAGGCAUGCUCCAAUUUCCUCCAGUUGUAUUGUUAUUUAUAGGUGUUGCAUUGCAUGACAAGGAACUAAGACGGGUCUGCAGAAACUGAGUAGUUAAGACUGCUUUGAUUGUCAACUCUUCUUUUUUUUUGUCAGAAGCUUUGAUUGAGCCAUUUUGGUGGCUUAUCUGGUUAGGAGAAUCUGGAACUUCUGAUUCCCAUGUAGACUCUGUUCUUUGGGUAAGUGAAAGACUUCAGCUUAUCCAGUCAUGCAAACACAUACCACCCAUAUUCUUCACUCCUCCACAUACUCUCAGUUGGACCAUUAAGGAAGUCAUUCUCUGCAGUUUGCCAGGAAAGUGUCAAUGGCUUUUGCUUUGGCAUGGGCAUCAUUAAGGGAAAUGAGAGAACAAGCACUACCAUCCUGAUGAUUUGGAUCACAUGUGAUUUCACAUAAGGUGUUUUUUUAAAAAAACCCUAACCACUACAAAUGCAACCGCACUGCUUUUGAGGCAAUUUAAUAUUGAAUAUAUCUGAGAUCAGGGCUCUUGAAAUUUGCCCUGCUCUGCUGACAUUCAUCUCUCUUUUGGAUUCUAAAAUCUGAAAUAGUAAUUUGGAUCUCAUUUAAACUAUUCUAUGUUGGUUGAUGUGGGGUAGCAGAACUUGGUAUACCAGAACAAGCCACACCACAAGAGAUACCUGUGAUAAAGAAGAGUUCACUCAUUGCUUACUCGGACCAGAGUUGUUGCACCCGGACUUAACUCCUACGCUUCCUGUAAGCUGUUUUUACGUGUGGCAAAAGAAUCAGGUGAGGACAUUCUGACAUGGCCCCCUUCACAAGCCAAAAACACAGAAAUUUGUGGCUUAUGGGUUGCCAUCUCUAAGUGCAAGGACAUGGAGUGGCUUUCUGAGACUUUGGGUGGCUUUCAGAACCACAGGAUGGGCAAGUAGAAGCUGCUAGAGUGUGGCCACUAAUGCUUUGCCAAAAGAGAGGUGUGUGUGGAAAAUAAGCUCAUGACUGCACCACCACAUGAUGAAUGCAGCACAUCCAAGCAAAAAUCUUACCUGCAAAGCCAACUUGGAUAGACUCCACCAACCGAUAAACCAGAAACACCCUUUGUGAAGGAUACCCUGAGAAGCAAACCACAACAUCCAAGGCAAACUUGUUGCUUCAUGAUGCCAAGGAGUCCAAAGAACGUAAGUGACCUUUGGUUCAGGUCAAGGAUCCAUCUAGUCUCCACUAGUGGCCAGCAAGAUAACCUCUGGAAAAUCUAUAGAGAAUGUAAGCCUAAGGUUGCUGGUAUUCAGAGACAGACUGCCUAGGGACAGGGAGCAUUUAGAAAUUAGAUCUAUCCCCCAGAAACCAGCAGCCAAGUCUGAUCAUACUAUAUUUUGCUGCCUGAAGGAAAGGAAUAGACGGCAACUUCUCCGCAACCUGGAAACUAACCAGAUUGGCAGCUGAACAUUACCUCACCAAUGGCAAUGGGGCAGAGUCCUCCACAGCACAUGAGGGCAGCAGACCAGCCUUAAGGCAUGCAGAGUGACUGCUACAGUGGCACAGUCUAAGAGUUAAUGCAUAUGUGAUUUUCUGCACCCUUUCCAGCUCCUACCAUACCUCAUUUGCGAUUGGCUGAUUGGUAUUGCGCGCCAUAUUUAUGGGGCCAAAUGAGCUCCAUAAAAAGGGAGUUCCAGCCAGGAGCCUGGCAAAUUAUGAAAGUAAAGAUUAAAGCACAAAGGUCCAUAUGGGGAAGAAACACCCUUUGCAUUUUCUUGGCAGUUGAUCUGAAGUACUUUUAGUGACAGCUGCCAGAUGGAAACUGAUGUGCGAGUAUGAAUUCAUGCCGGACAUAAGCUUGUUGGAAAGCUCUUGGACUCCUCUCCUGGUGAGGCUAAGGGGGGAAGUUUCGUUUUCAUGCAGGAUCUCCUCAGGUUUACCCAAAUAAAC
ensembl:lncRNA